rnacentral:snoRNA from 2 species
UGCAAUCAAUGAUGAAUAAAAUCGUCCAUAUUUAAUGAUAAUCCCGUGAUUAUUAAUCAAAUAGAUCACCAUCUUUCGGCUGAGAUUACA